rnacentral:rRNA from 1 species
UACGUAGGGUGCGAGCGUUGUCCGGAAUUAUUGGGCGUAAAGGGCUCGUAGGCGGUCUGUCGCGUCGGAUGUGAAAAUCAGGGCUCAACCCUGGACCUGCAUUCGAUACGGGCAGACUAGAGUUCGGUAGGGGAGACUGGAAUUCCUGGUGUAGCGGUGAAAUGCGCAGAUAUCAGGAGGAACACCGGUGGCGAAGGCGGGUCUCUGGGCCGAAACUGACGCUGAGGAGCGAAAACGUGGGAGCAAACAGG